rnacentral:rRNA from 1 species
AUUGAACGCUGGCGGAAGGCUUUACACAUGAAAGUCGAACGGCAGCACGGACUUCGGUCUGGUGGCGAGUGGCGAACGGGUGAGUCAUGUAUCGCAAAGUGCCCAGCCGCGGGGGAUAACGUAGUGAAAAUUACGCUAAUACCGCAUACGAUGUAUGGAUGAAAGCGGGGGAUAGCAAGAACUUGCGCGAUUGGAGCGGACGAUAUCAGAGUAGGUAGUUGGUGUGGUAAAGGCCCACCAAGCCAACGAGCUGUAGCUGGUCUGAGAGGACGAACAGCCACAGUGGAACUGAGACACGGUCCAGACUCCUUCGGGAGGCAGCAGUGGGGAAUUUUGGACAAUGGGCGAGAGCCUGAUCCAGCCAUUCCGCGUGCAGGAUGAAGGCCCUCGGGUUGUAAACUGCUUUUGUACAGAACGAUAAGGUUUCUACUAAUACUAGGAGCUCAUGACGGUACUGUAAGAAUAAGCACCGGCUAACCACCCGCCAGCCGCCGCGGUAA